UCAGACGAUGCGUCAUGCAUAUUAAUAAGCGGAGGAAAAGAAACUAACAAGGAUUCCCCUAGUAACGGCGAGUGAAGCGGGAAGAGCUCAAAUUUGAAAUCUUAAAGGGUUUCCCUUUACGAAUUGUAGUUUAAAGAAGUGUUUUCUGUUGAGGUUUUGGUAAAAGUUCUUUGGAAUAGGACAUCAUAGAGGGUGAGAAUCCCGUAUUUGACCUUUACUUUCAACUUUGUGAUACACUUUCAAAGAGUCGGAUUGUUUGGGAAUGCAGUCCAAAAUGGGUGGUAAAUUUCAUCUAAAGCUAAAUAUUGGCGAGAGACCGAUAGCGAACAAGUACCGUGAGGGAAAGAUGAAAAGAACUUUGAAAAGAGAGUUAAACAGUACGUGAAAUUGUCAAAAGGGAAGCGUUUGACACCAGUGUUGUUUUUCUGAAAAUCAAUUAAAGAACUGUUUAUGCUAAGUUGUUUAGACUUUAUCAGCUAAUCUGUUUAGUUUUGAGCUUUUCUUUAAUGCACUUUUCAGUUAACAAGUCAACAUCAAUUUCUUUUGCUGUAAAAAAGCUUGAGGAAGGUGGCUUGAGAUUCGUCUUAAGUGUUUAUAGCCUCUUGCCUAUGCAGUCGGAGAGAUUGAGGUCUGCAGCGUAGAUCCUUCGGGGCUAAAUGCAUUUGUGCUAAGUUAUAGCAUUUUAUAGACAACUUGUUGACUAUGAUUUGUCUUGUAGCUUACUCGCUUAUGUUAUUUUACCUACGCUUAGGAUGUUGACACACGCGCGUGCUCG
rnacentral:rRNA from 1 species